UACGUAGGGUGCGAGCGUUUGUCCGGAAUUAUUGGGCGUAAAGAGCUUGUAGGCGGUUUGUCGCGUCUGCUGUGAAAAUCCGGGGCUCAACCCCGGACUUGCAGUGGGUACGGGCAGACUAGAGUUCGGGAGAGGAGAGUGGAAUUCCUGGUGUAGCGGUGAAAUGCGCAGAUAUCAGGAAGAACACCCGUGGCGAAGGCGGCUCUCUGGGACGGUACUGACGCUGAGACGCGAAAGCGUGGGGAGCGAACAGG
rnacentral:rRNA from 1 species